rnacentral:rRNA from 1 species
UACGUAGGGUGCAAGCGUUAAUCGGAAUUACUGGGCGUAAAGCGUGCGCAGGCGGUUCGCUAAGACAGAUGUGAAAUCCCCGGGCUUAACCUGGGAACUGCAUUUGUGACUGGCGGGCUAGAGUAUGGCAGAGGGGGGUGGAAUUCCACGUGUAGCAGUGAAAUGCGUAGAGAUGUGGAGGAACACCGAUGGCGAAGGCAGCCCCCUGGGUUAACACUGACGCUCAGGCACGAAAGCGUGGGGAGCAAACAGG